GCCAUCUGCUAGUAAAGCCCGAAGAGCAUUUCUAAAGGAUAACUCGAUCAAACACAGCCAUGAACUGACAUCAACAACACCUCCAUCAACCGAAACAAUGUCAAUUUCAAUGUCCUUUUUCUCUCCUCCCCCGCCUACCCACCUCUUAAUAUCCUUCUCCUCCAAACCCCAUUUCACCGACAAAACCAUUUUCUUUCUUAGACCCGCAAACCCCCUCCUUUUAUCGGCUCCAAAAGUCUCCACGGACAACGGUGCUGGAAUUUCAGCCGCUAUAGAGGAACCAAAAGCUGAACAAAAGGUUGCUGAGCCUGCUGGGUCUGCUCCGGAGGGUGAAGAGAGCUCUUUGGGGUCUAAUGGAGCGGUGGCCGAUGCAGGGGUGAAGCUGGAAAGUAAGUUUGUGGACCCCAGAUGGAUUGGAGGGACUUGGGACUUGACGCAAUUUCAAAAAGAUGGGAGUACUGAUUGGGAUGCUGUUAUUGAUGCUGAGGUUAGGAGGAGAAAAUGGCUUGAGGGCAAUCCAGAAUCAUCCAGCAAUGAUGACCCUGUAGUUUUUGACACC
rnacentral:misc_RNA from 1 species